UCUGAUGGGCGCGAACUGCGACGGCAGUGGAGGAAGCCCGGUGAGACUCCGGCGCGGUCCCGCCACUGUGAGCCGGCUCCCCCGCCGGUGAGUCAGGAACUCCCGCCGUCGCCUCCUGCCAC
rnacentral:ncRNA from 2 species